AUGGGUUCUCCUUCCGCUGGCGCCAUGACUUCCUCAGCCAUGACCUCCCUUGCUCUACCGGCUUCCCUCUCGGCGUCAUCCACCUCUUCCGUUCCGCCUCCCUCUGCUAGCCUCAUCACGGCCAAACUCACCAUCUCCAACUACCUCCUGUGGAAAGCACAGAUUCUUCCUCCUCUCUGCAUCGCCAAUGUCACCGGCUACGUCGAUGGCACUUCUCCCAGUCUCCCUCGGCUCCUUCCACCUGAUGACAAGGGGGAACGUGCGCUCAAUCCCGAGUAUGAUGUCUGGUACCGUCAGGACCAGAUUUUUCUUAGCUACCUGCUCGCCUCCCUCGCGGAUGAUGUUCUCCAGCAGGUUAUUCGCUUUGACACCUCUCGCGCCAUCUGGGCGCAUCUUGAGGAGACGUAUUCUGCCAAUUGUCGUGCUAGUGUUGUGCAGAUCAAGCUUGACAUGGCCAAAUUCCGCAAGGCCAACCUCUCCAUGGUGGAUUACUUCGCCAAGAUCCGCUCCUACGUCGACCAGCUAGCGGUUGCUGGGCGUCCCAUGCGGGAUGACGACAUCAUCACCGCCGUCAUCACCGAUCUUGAUAGCGACUAUGAGCCUCUCAUUACUGCUGUUACGACCCGGAUCGAUGAGAUGACUCUGGGGGAGCUCUACUCCCACGCUCUCUCCUUCGAGCGUCGCCGCGAGUACCAUGUUGCUCGCCUUCAUCUUCACGUCGGCGGCUCUUCUCUCAACUACGUCGCCCGCGACAAGAACGGCAACAACAACAACAACCGCGGUGGCAACCGUAGCAACUACCGUGGCAAGGGCCGCGGUAUUCAAGGUGACCGCGGUGACUACGACAACAACAACCGCGGUGGCAAUCGCGGUGACCGCGGUGGCAAUCGCGGUGACCGCGGCGGCAAUCGCCAGCAGGGUGACUACGGUGGUAACCGUGGUGGUGGUGACCGUGGUGACUACGGGGGUGGUGCUGACACCCGCAUCCAAUGCCAACUCUGUCGUGGCCCCGGGCACUAUGCCUGGGAAUGUGGGCAACGCUACAAUCAUGCGUUUCAACCCCAACACUCCAAGAUGGCCGGCCUGGCGGCUGCUUCUCCGCCGUCUAUCCUCGGUGAACCGACCUGGUUCACUGACACGGGGGCGUCCGACCACAUCACCUCAGAUCUGGAUCGCCUCACCAUAAGGGAGAAGUACCCGAGGAGGGACCGCAUCCACACCGCCGACGGCUCAGGAUUUGAUCACCAAGAGGGUCCUUCUUCAAGGCAGAUGUGA
rnacentral:rRNA from 1 species